GGUCCCGUAGCUCAGCUGGAUAGAGCACCGGUUUCCUAAACCGGGGGUCGCAGGUUCGAGCCCUGCCGGGAUCGCCA
rnacentral:tRNA from 1 species